GCACCGGUUGUGCACGGUGCACGCACCACUCUUAAUACAUUUCAUGGGCGCUUAGCACUCGCAGUGAUCAGGGUUCGAUUCCCUGCUGGUGCU